GCCGGGCGUGGUGGCCGGUGCCUGUAGUCGCAGCUACUCGGGAGGCUGAGGCAGGAGAAUGGCGUGACCCGGGAGGCGGAGCUUGCAGUGAGCCGAGAUCCGGCCACUGCACUCCAGCCUGGGUGACAGAGCGAGACUCCGUCUCAAAAAAAAAAAAAAAAAAUUCCCUAACCUGUAGGUAUAUGCCAGUUUGCACGUGGGUUUUUUUUUUUUUUUUUUUUUUUUUUUUUUGAGACGGAGUCUCGCUGUGUCGCCCAGGCUGGAGUGCAGUGGCCGGAUCUCAGCUCACUGCAAGCUCUGCCUCCCGGGUUUUUACGCCAUUCUCCUGCCUCAG
rnacentral:SRP_RNA from 1 species